GUGUCAACAAAUUUGUGGGGGAUGAUGGCUAAGAAAAUGAUCUUUAGAGGUUUUGCUUUUGGGAUUUGGCUUGUAGGUAAAGUAGAUAUGCAUUACAACAAUGGUCCAGAGCAAUGGCAAGAGUUAAUUGAUUUCUAAAAGCCUGUUUCUUACAGUGUCUUCAAGGCCCACUAUGUCUGACAUGGGCCAGCAGCAAGCAGACACAGAGACUGGAAAACUGAAGACAUUUACCACACUAUUCCAUAACAUGAGAUAAAGUGGCACCAGGUUGCAGUGCCCACCUGCAGAGCUCUUGAGAUUUCCAGUUUAGGGGAAGACACCAAAUUAG